rnacentral:lncRNA from 1 species
UUGGUUUUCGUCCUUAUAAUUUGAUGAUUUUUUCAUUUUUGACCUUCAUAGCAAAUUUUGCCCCCUGUAAUUUGAGAAAAUUUUGGUCAACCUCUUGUAAUUUGAGCAAAUUUCAAUUUACCCUCUGGUAAUUUGAGAAAAUUUUUGUUUAGCCCCUGCCAUAUCGUCGAUUGUGUACUGUUAAAAUUCAGAAGGUGGAAAACCAAACAAAAAAUUUUACAGGAUAGAAAACCAGAAAUGACUUAUAUUAUAAGGGAUAAAAUACUAUUAACUCUACAUAAAUUAAUUUGGGACGCUGCAUAGAGGAAUGAUAACUUAUACAUGCAUCCAAUAGUAGAGAAUUAUUAGAAAAUCACAAAUUGUAUGCCGACAGUAUGCAAUACGGUGUUGUCUGGUUGGUUUUAAUGUUUGAAAAUCAUUUCUCUAUUAGAUAGGAGGUUAGUUUGAUUUCUACCGCUAUCAAACUCUCUUUUCCCUGUUAUUUUUUAUUUUUUAGAGGAAAUAUUUUCCCUGCUAAAUUAAUUACUGUCAUUUUUCGUAUUUAAGAGAUUAUUUUCGACAUAAUAUGAUGAAACUCUAACCAAGUGAUUGACUGUCCUUGUGAGCUUAACUCAGUUGGUUGGAUAAUGCAUAAAUAUAUGCAAGAUUCGGGAUUCAAACCCCACCCCGUCCACCACAAAAAAAAAAAAACCAAGUGAUGGACUCGGGUGUUAAUCAAUUCCAUCAAAUGAUGAAUCGUUCGAAAAAAUGAGAUUGAUUCUUGGUGGAACAGUUUUUUGCCAUAAUAUAUAUUUUUUUUUUUAUGUUAACCCAUCGAUUUCUAGAGAAAGUGAGCAUUGGUAAUAUGAAGUUUGAUCAUGUGGUAAGUAAAGUCUACAAUUAUUGUAUCCGUCGGUGAUACAUCAAAAUUGACUCAUUUGAUAAAAGUUUAUAUGUUAAGUUUGAUGUAUCUCAACAUAUCAAAUUAUUUCAGUCAAAUUUUAUAUACAUGAUCUAUUAUCCAUUGAUGGAUAUUGUAAAUACAGAUAUACGGUAAAAAAGUAUCAGUGAUAUCAUAUAUUAAGUUUAACAUCAUGGUGUAAAUUGAUCAAAUCCCUAUAUAAAAAUAAAUUGAUCAAAUCCCUAUAUAAAAAUUUAGAAAAUAUUAUAUGAGCUGCAAAUCAGAGAUCAAUUUUUCAAGAAUAUUUCAUCAUAAAUAACCACAACAAAAAAGAUCUAGCAAACAAAUAUGUUUAUUAGAAGUAGAAAUAUUUCAUUGAUCGAUGAAAAUUUCAACAUAUAUAAAGCAAUCAACAGCACAUAUAUAUGAUAUAUAUACAUAUUCUUUCAAAGAAAAAAAAAAUGAUAUAUACAUAUACCUACAAAAUAACAAAGUGCACUAAUUGCUAAAAUUGCUUACACAAAAGUGAUAGCUUAUUGCAUAAAUAUGAGAUGAGAUCUUUAUAUAGGAUACAUAAAUUGCCAAAGGAUCAUUGGUUGCCCUUCCUUAUAGGUUAAGAUCUUGAGGGUUUCUUUCAACCAUGACCUAGCUUGUAGCUAGGUCUAACUUGAAGCACUAUUUUGCCUUCAAUUUUGCUUCUUUGCUUCCAUCUUUGAUGCAAAUGUUGAGAUCUGAACUUGAGACUCAUGUUAUGAUUUGUGGCUGGAAGAAAGAAACAAAAAAAAGUGUUACUGCAUAUAUAAAUACAGGAGUUGCUGAUGAGAGCAAAAAGAAGAGAAUAAUAGUGGUGCUCAAGUGAGGGAAACAUGUUUGGUUUUCAUAGUGGCUUUUGUAGGUGAAAAAGAAAGUGGAGAAAGGAUCUUCUCAGCAUAUACCUUGACAAAAUUUGGUUGCUUUUCUGCCAUUGAUUUACUUUUCCUAAAAAAAAUAACUUUAUUAAGCAAAGUUAGUGUGACAUCUACAUUUUUGGAAUUUGAUUAAUCAGUGUCGACAUUUAUGUGUAG